rnacentral:RNase_P_RNA from 2 species
AAAGAUAGCCGGAUGGCUGCUGAAAUUUAAAAACUUUCAGAGGAAAGUCCGGGCUUUAUGGAACAAUGAUCCCGGGUAACGCCCGGAGAGGGUAACCUCAUGGAAAGUGCCGCAGAAAAUAUACCGCCGGUAAUUUUUAUCGGUAAGGGUGAAAUGGUGGGGUAAGAGCUCACCGGGCUUUUAGUAAUAAAAGUUGCAUGGUAAACCCGAUCAAAAGCAAGACCGUAUAGGUGCGAUUAUAAGUAUGUUCCACUUUUUUGCACGGGUAGGUCGCAUGAGCUGAAUGGUGACAUUCAGCCAAGAUGAAUAGCCGUCAAAAAGGAUUUUAUCCUUUUUACAGAACCCGGCUUACAGGCUAUCUUUCAAU